rnacentral:rRNA from 2 species
AGACCCGAAACCCGGUGAUCUAGCCAUGGGCAGGUUGAAGGUUGGGUAACACUAACUGGAGGACCGAACCGACUAAUGUUGAAAAAUUAGCGGAUGACCUGUGGCUGGGGGUGAAAGGCCAAUCAAACCGGGAGAUAGCUGGUUCUCCCCGAAAGCUAUUUAGGUAGCGCCUCGUGAAUUCAUCUCCGGGGGUAGAGCACUGUUUCGGCUAGGGGGCCAUCCCGGCUUACCAACCCGAUGCAAACUGCGAAUACCGGAGAAUGUUAUCACGGGAGACACACGGCGGGUGCUAACGUCCGUCGUGAAGAGGGAAACAACCCAGACCGCCAGCUAAGGUCCCAAAGUCAUGGUUAAGUGGGAAACGAUGUGGGAAGGCCCAGACAGCCAGGAUGUUGGCUUAGAAGCAGCCAUCAUUUAAAGAAAGCGUAAUAGCUCACUGGUCGAGUCGGCCUGCGCGGAAGAUGUAACGGGGCUAAACCAUGCACCGAAGCUGCGGCAGCGACACUGUGUGUUGUUGGGUAGGGGUGCGUUCUGUAAGCCUGUGAAGGUGUGUCGUGAGGCAUGCUGGAGGUAUCAGAAGUGCGAAUGCUGACAUAAGUAACGAUAAAGCGGGUGAAAAGCCCGCUCGCCGGAAGACCAAGGGUUCCUGUCCAACGUUAAUCGGGGCAGGGUGAGUCGACCCCUAAGGCGAGGCCGAAAGGCGUAGUCGAUGGGAAACGGGUUAAUAUUCCCGUACUUGGUGUUACUGCGAAGGGGGGACGGAGAAGGCUAUGUUGGCCGGGCGACGGUUGUCCCGGUUUAAGCGUGUAGGUGUGUGUUCCAGGUAAAUCCGGUUCACUUUAACACUGAGGCGUGACGACGAGGCACUACGGUGCUGAAGCAACAAAUGCCCUGCUUCCAGGAAAAGCCUCUAAGCAUCAGGUAACAUCAAAUCGUACCCCAAACCGACACAGGUGGUCAGGUAGAGAAUACCAAGGCGCUUGAGAGAACUCGGGUGAAGGAACUAGGCAAAAUGGUGCCGUAACUUCGGGAGAAGGCACGCUGACACGUAGGUGAAGUGAUUUACUCAUGGAGCUGAAGUCAGUCGAAGAUACCAGCUGGCUGCAACUGUUUAUUAAAAACACAGCACUGUGCAAACACGAAAGUGGACGUAUACGGUGUGACGCCUGCCCGGUGCCGGAAGGUUAAUUGAUGGGGUCAGCGCAAGCGAAGCUCCUGAUCGAAGCCCCGGUAAACGGCGGCCGUAACUAUAACGGUCCUAAGGUAGCGAAAUUCCUUGUCGGGUAAGUUCCGACCUGCACGAAUGGCGUAAUGAUGGCCAGGCUGUCUCCACCCGAGACUCAGUGAAAUUGAACUCGCUGUGAAGAUGCAGUGUACCCGCGGCAAGACGGAAAGACCCCGUGAACCUUUACUAUAGCUUGACACUGAACAUUGAGCCUUGAUGUGUAGGAUAGGUGGGAGGCUUUGAAGUGUGGACGCCAGUCUGCAUGGAGCCGACCUUGAAAUACCACCCUUUAAUGUUUGAUGUUCUAACGUGGACCCGUUACCCGGGUUGCGGACAGUGUCUGGUGGGUAGUUUGACUGGGGCGGUCUCCUCCUAAAGAGUAACGGAGGAGCACGAAGGUUGGCUAAUCCUGGUCGGACAUCAGGAGGUUAGUGCAAUGGCAUAAGCCAGCUUGACUGCGAGCGUGACGGCGCGAGCAGGUGCGAAAGCAGGUCAUAGUGAUCCGGUGGUUCUGAAUGGAAGGGCCAUCGCUCAACGGAUAAAAGGUACUCCGGGGAUAACAGGCUGAUACCGCCCAAGAGUUCAUAUCGACGGCGGUGUUUGGCACCUCGAUGUCGGCUCAUCACAUCCUGGGGCUGAAGUAGGUCCCAAGGGUAUGGCUGUUCGCCAUUUAAAGUGGUACGCGAGCUGGGUUUAGAACGUCGUGAGACAGUUCGGUCCCUAUCUGCCGUGGGCGCUGGAGAACUGAGGGGGGCUGCUCCUAGUACGAGAGGACCGGAGUGGACGCAUCACUGGUGUUCGGGUUGUCAUGCCAAUGGCACUGCCCGGUAGCUAAAUGCGGAAGAGAUAAGUGCUGAAAGCAUCUAAGCACGAAACUUGCCCCGA